AAUCCAAAAACUUAAUACACAGUUAGGUUCAGCAUAUUAAAGAACCCCAAGAAUUCAAGAAUAAAACCCCAUUGAAAUUGAUCAAGAAAUAAGCAAUUUAUACGAAGUAUCUUCUUUUGCACAAUACUGUGCAAUUAAAUAUUUCUUGCUAUUGCGCAAUACUGUACAAUUGACAAUUUCUUGCUAUUGCGCAAUAUUGUGCUAUUGGAUAUUUCUUGCUAUUGCGCAAUACUGUGCAAUUGAAGAUUUCUUGCUAUUGCGCAAUACUGUGCAAUUGAAGAUUUCUUGCUAUUGUGCAAUACUGUGCAAUUGAAAAUUUCUUGCUAUUGCACAAUACUUAUUAUAUAAUAAUUUACACAUCCUGUUUGGUGUGUAUCUCCUACCAUAUCAUUAUUAUUUGCUUUUAAAUAUUAAUCAGAAAUAACCAACUUAAAAUGGAAAAUUUUAAAAGAAAAAAAAAAGGAAAAAAAGAAAAAAAAAUAAAAAAAAAAAUCCCCCCCCCCAAAUUUUUUGAACCCCUUAUGAUUCAUCACCCCCAAACUCAAUCCCAGCCUUCCCUUUGUGGUAUGGUACCUUGCAGUACAAUUUCAGAGAGAUCCAUACACUUGAACACAAGUUAUUGUCUGGAAACUAGAAAAAUGCUUAUUUUUGGCCCCUUUUUGGCCCCCAAUUCCUAAACGUUUCGGGCAAUUACCCCCAAACUCAAUUCCAGCUUUCCCUUUGUGAUAUGGAACCUUGUAGUACAAUUUCAGAAAUAUCCAAACACUUACACACAAGUUAUUGGCAUGAAACUAGAAAAAUGCUGGUUUUUUGCCCCUUUUUUGGCCCCUUAUUCCUAAAAUUUUGAGGCAAUUACCCCCAAAAUCAAUUACAGCCUUUCCUUUGUGAUAUGGAACCUUGUGGUACAAUGUCAGAGAGAUCCAUACACUUACACACAAGUUAUUGUCUGGAAGUUACAAAAAUGCUUAUUUUUGGCCCCUAAUUCCUUAACUGUUGGUACCAUAACCCCCAAAAUCAAUCCCAACCUUCCUUUCGUGGUAUUGAACCUUAUGGUAAAAUUUCAUGGAGAUCCAUUCACUUAAACUAAAGUUAGAGUGCAAAAACCAAUGUGUCUUCGGACGACGCCAGACGACGACAACAACGACGACGACGCCAACGUCAUACCAAUAUACGACCAAAAAAUUUUUAAUUUUUGGGGUCGUAUAAAAGUACAUAGGAAUAAUUCAACACUAUCACAUGACUAUUGUUCUAGAAUGUUCCAUGAAAAUUGACCCCCUAAAAUAAUGCCAAGAUGACCCCGGGCUGAAAUAAAAAAUGUGGAAUGGACACCUGGACAUCGGUCUCUUGUAUUACACAAAACUUAAAGGUUCUACCAGUAGCGAAUCAAUAGUCGAAAAAUGACCCCACCCAUGUUCCGGCCCCCAAAUAGUGCCAAGUUGACCCCCAUUUAAAAUAAAAAAUAGUGAAUGCACCCCUAGGGAUACUACCCCAACAUCAUACCAAAUAUAAAGUUUCCUUCAUUUAAGGCUUGGAAGAAAAUGGUCGGACAAAUUAGGGUUAAGAAUAAUAAUAAUAAUAAUAAAUAACGGGACAAAAACAUAAAGUCCCCAAAACUCCGUUUUGGCGACUUAAUAAGAAA